UACGUAGGGGGCUAGCGUUGCUCGGAAUCACUGGGCGUAAAGGGCGCGUAGGCGGGUCUUUGAGUCAGGGGUGAAAUCCUGGAGCUCAACUCCAGAACUGCCUUUGAUACUGAAGAUCUUGAGUUCGGGAGAGGUGAGUGGAACUGCGAGUGUAGAGGUGAAAUUCGUAGAUAUUCGCAAGAACACCAGUGGCGAAGGCGGCUCACUGGCCCGAUACUGACGCUGAGGCACGAAAGCGUGGGGAGCAAACAGG
rnacentral:rRNA from 1 species